GUGUCAGCAACCUGACAUAUACCUUGAUUCUCCAUGCCCGCACCCCCUAGAGACUGCCAAGAUCUAUUAUCUCAGAUAGAAGAGUGAAGAAGUUAAAUCCCAGUCAUGACUAACCUCCUACUCUCUAUAAAGUCAGAAAUUGAAAGUGC